AUUGAACGCUGGCGGCAUGCCUUACACAUGCAAGUCGAACGGCAGCACGGGAGCAAUCCUGGUGGCGAGUGGCGAACGGGUGAGUAAAGUAUCGGAACGUGCCCAGUCGUGGGGGAUAACGUAGCGAAAGUUACGCUAAUACCGCAUACGAUCUAUGGAUGAAAGCGGGGGAUCGCAAGACCUCGCGCGAUUGGAGCGGCCGAUAUCAGAUUAGGUAGUUGGUGGGGUAAAGGCUCACCAAGCCGACGAUCUGUAGCUGGUCUGAGAGGACGGCCAGCCACACUGGGACUGAGACACGGCCCAGACUCCUACGGGAGGCAGCAGUGGGGAAUUUUGGACAAUGGGCGAAAGCCUGAUCCAGCCAUGCCGCGUGCAGGAUGAAGGCCUUCGGGUUGUAAACUGCUUUUGUACAGAACGAAAAGGUUUCUACUAAUACUAGGAGCUCAUGACGGUACUGUAAGAAUAAGCACCGGCUAACUACGUGCCAGCCGCCGCAGUAA
rnacentral:rRNA from 1 species